CAACAUUGAUAAUAAUCAGAAAUGUUUCUUGAGCAGCAAAUCAGCAUAUUAUUAUGAUUUCUGAAGAUCGUGUGACACUGAAGACUGGAGGAAUGAUGCUGAAAAUACAGCUUUGAUCACAGAAAUAAAAUACAGUUUACUAUAUAUUCACAUAGAAAACAGUUCUUUUAAAUUGUAAUAAUAUUUCAAAUUUUUUACCGUAUUUAUGAUCAAAUAAAUGCAGCCUUGCUCAGCAUUCUUUUAAAAACAUACUGUUUUUUUAACACAAUGGUAUAACUAUGGCAACACAAAUGUGACAUGCAAUGGUGCUUUUAUGUUACCAAAAAGGUUUAAUCUCUUAUAUAAAUAGAUUGCAUAAUUGCUAUUCUAUUGUGUUGUUUUCCUAACGCAUUAUUGUGUUUUAUAGUAGCAGCUCUUUUGAGUGGGUGUCAGAUUUCAUAUCGUCACUGUUGCAUGGCAACCUUUAAAAACUCAAGCUGUCACUAACAGCACUGAAGCCUCUUCAUUCACUAUUCAAUGGAAAAGCAAAUGUACCAUUAUGCAGAAAAAUGUCUGCCUCGAAAAAAGAAGGUUUGGGAGUCUUUCCAUUCGAACACCUUCAGGAUCUUUGAUGAGACGUUGCCAGAGCGUCUCGAUCCGGUCCGUGUCGAUCGGAACCAUAAAUAUCCUGCAAGAGACCCACGAGAGUCUGAGACCUGCAACGUCCCACAUCCUCACAACGCCAGAUUCAUCAGAACUAAUGUCAGAUUCCUUAAUGAGCCCAUCGCUCAUAUGGAGACGAGACGUACUGAGACAGAACAGUUUAACUGGUGGUCAAGCAGUCCUAAAGAAGAUCUUCCCGUGAAAGCACCUUACAGUAAAUCCAGCACUCAGAGAAGUGAUUUCCAGGCGAUCAGAGGCGCUCCAGUCAGAGAACGAGAGACCAACAGACCCGCAGCCACUGGAAUCGCGUCACAGAGGGUUGGUGUGGAGAGACGGGGAGGCGACGGGGCCAGGCACAUUCCAGAGCACAGAGGGGUUGCGUUUGCCCUCAGCAGGGACGGCCGACCUGUUGAACUGCUCUCAGCUGGCCUCGCUUUCAGCUCAACAGAUGUGGGAGAGAAAAGAGGCCCGUCCCAGCAGAGAGACCCCAGAGAUCAGCGUUCCCAGAGACGGAGGGGAAUCCCUUUCGUUCGGGUGGGACAGCGAACUGAACUCAUAAGAGCAUGUCCAGAUCAUAUUUCACCUCAAAACCAAAAGGAAAAAAUUUGGUUAUUUUCAUGAAGCACGUAUU
rnacentral:lncRNA from 1 species